rnacentral:lncRNA from 1 species
AGAGGGCUUGUGCAGGGCCUCGCUCACAACACAGGAGUGUUCUUGGGGGAACUGACAUGAGGCUUCACAGUGGCCAGGGCAGCUGGGGCCGUAGAGGACAUGGCCUGGACUCUCAUCCCUUCCUGUAGCUUCGGGGCACAAGGUCUCUCUCUGUCACCCAGGCUGGAGUACAGUGCUGUGGUCAUAGCUCACUGCAGCCUCGAACUCCUGGGCUCAAGUGGUCCUCCUGAUUGGCCUAAGGUUCCCCGGAAAAGCCAGACUUGCACUCAGGUC